GAUGAAGGAACGCAGCGAAAUGCGAUACGUAAUGUGAAUUGCAGAAUUCAGUGAAUCAUCGAAUCUUUGAACGCAUAUUGCGCUCUUUGGUAUUCCGAAGAGCAUGCUUGUUUGAGUAUCAGUAAACACCUCAAAGCUUUUGGAUUUUUUAAUCGAAAAGCUUUGGACUUGAGCAAUCCCAACACCAAUCUUUUUGAGAUCGGUGGCGGGUUGCUUGAAAUGCAGGUGCAGCUGGACAUUCUCCUGAGCUAAAAGCAUAUUCAUUUAGUCCCGUCAAACGGAUUAUUACUUUUGCUGCAGCUAACAUAAAGGGAGUUUGACCGUAUUGGCUGACUGAUGCAGGAUUUCACAAGGGUCGGCAACGAUUCUUGUUAAACUCGAUCUCAAAUCAAGUAAGACUACCCGCUGAACUUAAGCAUAUCAAUAAGCGGAGGA
rnacentral:misc_RNA from 1 species